UACGUAGGGGGCGAGCGUUGUUCGGAAUUAUUGGGCGUAAAGAGCGUGUAGGCGGCCAGGUAGGUCCGUUGUGAAAACUCGAGGCUCAACCUCGAGACGUCGAUGGAAACCAUCUGGCUAGAGUCCGGAAGAGGAGAGUGGAAUUCCUGGUGUAGCGGUGAAAUGCGCAGAUAUCAGGAAGAACACCCGUGGCGAAGGCGGCUCUCUGGGACGGUACUGACGCUGAGACGCGAAAGCGUGGGGAGCGAACAGG
rnacentral:rRNA from 1 species